GCGAUAGUAGCUCAGUUGGAUAGAGCAAUGGUCUUCUAAACCAUCGGUCGCGGGUUCGAACCCCGCCUGUCGCA
rnacentral:tRNA from 1 species